CUAGAAAGAUAUUUUAGUUGGUUUGAAAAUCUGGAGUCAUCGAGAUGUUAGAUUGAAGUUACUGAUAGAUAUUAGGCUACCGUUGCAGUGAGCGGGUCGUGUGAUAUAUCAUAUAUGGCAGAGAUGUUUGUCUAGAAUACCACAUAUUCUGACGAGCUCUACAUUGCAGUUUAUAUAUUAAUACAAACCGAGUUACUCGUUGAAAGGCAUUAUAUUUGUCCUAUAAAUAUUUAUCUAUUAACUUUUAAUAUGGAAUGUGAAUGAUUUGAA